GGACAAUGGUGCCUGGCAGCUGCUCUCUGACAGGGCUACCCAUCAACCAGCCGAGAUCCAUUCCUUUUUGAGACAAGUACUUCUUCAAGUCAUAAGCAAGAUAUUUUGAAAAGCAAGAAGGCAGAGAUGACAUAGGAAGAACUGCCCUAAAGACUAUGAAAAAGGACCUCAGAGACUUGGGGCAACAGGUAAAGGGUUCAAGAGCCCAAGUUGUGUUCUCCUCUAUCCCUCCAGUUGUAGGGAAUGAUAAGGGACUAAAUACAAUGGGCCAACAGAUUAACACCUGGCUCUAAGCCUGGUGUGCCCAGCAGAGGUUUUGGUUUUUUUGACCUCUGCUCUGUUUGCAUGAGACCAGGCCUGCUGGCAACCAAUAGGAGUAGCUUCUCUUACUGGUGGAAAGGGUGGGAGGUCUUAAGAUGGGAAUCAUAGAAUCAUAGAAUCAUAGAAUUGCCUGGGUUGAAAAGGACCACAGUGAUCAUUGAGUUUCAACCCCCCUGCUAUGGGCAGAGUUGCCAACCACUAGACCAGGCUGCC